rnacentral:rRNA from 1 species
GCAUAUCAAUAGCGGAGGAAAAGAAACCCACCGGGAUUGCCCUAGUAACGGCGAGUGAAAGCGGCAACAGCUCAAAUUUGAAAUCUGGCGCAAGCCCGAGUUGUAAUUUGUAGAGGAUGCUUCUGGGUAGCGGCCGGUCUAAGUUCCUUGGAACAGGACGUCAUAGAGGGUGAGAAUCCCCGUAUGUGACUGGCUUGCACCCUCCACGUAGCUCCUUCGACGAGUCGAGUUGUUUGGGAAUGCAGCUCUAAAUGGGAGGUAAAUUUCUUCUAAAGCUAAAUACCGGCCAGAGACCGAUAGCGCACAAGUAGAGUGAUCGAAAGAUGAAAAGCACUUUGGAAAGAGAGUUAAAAAGCACGUGAAAUUGUUGAAAGGGAAGCGCCCGCAACCAGACUUUGCGGCAGUGUUCGGCCGGUCUUCUGACCGGUUUACUCGCUGUCGUGAGGCCAUCAUCGUCUGGGACCGCUGGAUAAGACCUUAGGAAUGUAGCUCCCCUCGGGGAGUGUUAUAGCCUCUGGUGAUGCAGCGCGUCUCGGGCGAGGUCCGCGCUUCGGCAAGGAUGAUGGCGUAAUGGUUGUCGGCGGCCCGUCUUGAAACACGGACCAAGGAGUCUAACAUCUAUGCGAGUGUUCGGGUGUCAAACCCCUACGCGUAAUGAAAGUGAACGGAGGUGGGAACUUUUUGUGCACCAUCGACCGAUCCUGAUGUCCUCGGAUGGAUUUGAGUAAGAGCAUAGCUGUUGGGACCCGAAAGAUGGUGAACUAUGCCUGAAUAGGGUGAAGCCAGAGGAAACUCUGGUGGAGGCUCGCAGCGGUUCUGACGUGCAAAUCGAUCGUCAAAUU